rnacentral:rRNA from 1 species
GACGAACGCUGGCGGCGUGCUUAACACAUGCAAGUCGAACGGAAAGGCCUCUUUCGGGGGGUACUCGAGUGGCGAACGGGUGAGUAACACGUGAGUAACCUGCCCUUGACUUUGGGAUAACUUCAGGAAACUGGGGCUAAUACCGGAUAGGAGCUCCUGCUGCAUGGUGGGGGUUGGAAAGUUUCGGCGGCUGGGGAUGGACUCGCGGCUUAUCAGCUUGUUGGUGGGGUAGUGGCUUACCAAGGCUUUGACGGGUAGCCGGCCUGAGAGGGUGACCGGCCACAUUGGGACUGAGAUACGGCCCAGACUCCUACGGGAGGCAGCAGUGGGGAAUAUUGCACAAUGGGUGGAAGCCUGAUGCAGCAACGCCGUGUGCGGGAUGACGGCCUUCGGGUUGUAAACCGCUUUCGCUCAUGACGAAGCUUUGUGUGACGGUAGUGGGUAAAGAAGCACCGGCUAACUACGUG